CUGCAUUGUCAUGGAGGUUGAGGUUCGAGCCCACGGAGCUGUCCUCCAACACAACGGUGCCCACGCACAGAUGCUGGCAGAAAGGUUUAACCCAUGGAGCAGCAUCCCCCAAAGGAAGGGCAGUGACCUGUGGAUACCUGUAACAUAGCUCAAAGGUACUUAUGGAGUUCUGGUAAGUAAUUGCACCUGUUUCUGUGCCAAGAAGUUAUGAAAGUGAUGUGGGCUUAACCCUCUCAAGGGAAACCUUGUCUGAGUUUAACUUAGUUUUCACUCAGACAUGCAAUGUUAGUAAACGUUUUCUGAAAUGGCAAAGUUAACAUAGCUCUCUGACCUGUAGUAUGAGAAUAACACCAGGAAGGUGAGUACCUUGCAAGCAUAUCCAGC
ensembl:lncRNA